rnacentral:rRNA from 1 species
UACGUAGGGACCGAGCGUUGUCCGGAUUCAUUGGGCGUAAAGAGCUCGUAGGCGGCCGCUCAAGUCGAAUGUGAAACCUCGAGGCUCAACCUCGAGCCUGCAUUCGAUACUGGGCGGCUAGAGUCUGGUAGGGGGAUCUGGAAUUCCUGGUGUAGCGGUGGAAUGCGCAGAUAUCAGGAGGAACACCGAUGGCGAAGGCAGAUCUCUGGGCCGUAACUGACGCUGAGGAGCGAAAGCGUGGGGAGCGAACAGG